rnacentral:lncRNA from 1 species
GUUCUUACAACACUGAGUUCUAGAGAUUUAUUUUGAAAACUUGCAAAUCACAUGAUGAGUUCCUAGCAUGACAAAAUUCCUACCACAACCAUACUUGCUAUAACAUCUUUUGCUAUUCACAUUGAGUUUGAUCGAGCUGUGUAGACCCUUAGGAGCUUUUCAUGUGCUUAAAUUAAGAUAUUCACUUGCACACACCUAUUACACCAUCCAUCACCAUUCAUUAAAAUUGCUAAAAAUAUUAUCACUCACUGUCCCAAGUGUUGUUAUUCUCUCUCUCCAAAAAGAUUCAAUGCAGAAGAGGCAUGAGUUAUGCAAAAAUAUGCGAGGAAAUAAAAAGGGCAAGUGCCCGGAACCUCAAAAAAGAAAGAAAAAGAGUGAGACGAGAGGUAAAAAUGGACAAGUGUCCGAAGUAGAAUUAGGGGUACAAAGAUGCCCACUUGAGCGGAAAAAAUGGACAAGUGUCCG